AUGCUGCCAGCUCGCUGCGGGAGCCUCCCUUCUCCGAGCUUAGGAGGGAAGGGCGAGCAAGUGCGCGCGCACACCCAGACCCAGACACACACACACACACACACACACACACACACACAUCUCCUUCCUUCGGAGUUGUGUCUCGUCUCCCUUUUGUUUUUCUCCAUUCCCGGUCAUGAGACCCGGAAGUUUUUUUUUUUUUUUUUUUUUUUUUUUAAUCCAGUCUCUCUCCCUUUUCCAACCCCACCCCCCCAAUCUAUCACAUGGCAGAGACAGAAUAAAAACAGAAAAAUGGCGACGGUCACGUUGUGGCGAGCACGUUGUAUCCUUGCUGCGUCAUUAGAUAAUCCUCAUGCAAAUAGCGGGAAGAACAAAGGAAGGGGGGCCCGGGACCCCCGGGGGCGCAGGGUGCUGGCGUGGGUCCCUCGCCGUCCGGCGGCGACUGUAAAUAGAGCCUGGAUGUUGUUUACAUGAAGGAUCCGGCGGGAGGAGUCUGCGAGGAGGAGGCGGAGGAGGAGGAGGAGGGAGGAGAGAGGAAGACCAGAGUCCCCGCGGCGGCGGUCCGGGGUGAGGGUGAGCCCCGCGCGCGUAGGGCACCGGGGGCUACCGCGAGGCCGGGACGCUGGACCUGGGGUAGGAGGGAGAAUGGGCGCCGGGCUGGGAGAAGGGGGGGGCUGUCAGAGAGGCAUUUUUAGCUUCCUACCUGCCACGCAGAUUCUCCGGGGCGAGAGGGGAGGGGUGUGCGAGGAGGGCGGGGAAUCCUGAUUUCCCUACACGUUCCUUUUCCCAUCCCCAGUCUCUUCCCGCUUCCUCUUGAGGCUCACCUGUUUAUUUCCUUCAGCCAGAGCUUGCAGUUUGUUUUUUUUUUUUUUUUUCCGGUAGGCAAGAGAAGCUCUUUCUUUUAUUAGAAACGUUAUUGGGGAAGGGGGUGUCCGCCUGUAAUUUAUGACGGUCCCGGUCGGUUUUCAAGAAGGGGGAGGGGACUUGGCCGGAGACCGCCCGGUAGCUGACCCUCGGGCUUCUCCCUGCCUUCCUGGUCGGCCGAGGAAGCUUUUUCCUCGCACAACUACCCGCAGGCCAGCUGCCGCCUUCUUGGAGAAGGACCACAUCUAUUCCUAUUCCUCCCUUUGGAGGAGAGGUGAGCUGAGAAAGCGGGGAAUCCUCUGUUCCCCAAAGCUCCUAGCCAAGCUUCCCAUCCCAGCAUUGGCCAGAAAGUGCUGCUUUCACCUGCU
rnacentral:lncRNA from 1 species